CCUUUCAUCUCUCUGUCAAACUUGUCUCCAUUGACACAAAAGCCCUAGCUGUGCUCACAGGCCACUCUCUCCCUCUUUCUCUCUCUGUUUUUUUUUUUUUUUGCCCUCUCAAUUCAUCCGUCAUUGGUGAACAAUACAAAAAGGCCAGAUCCCUGAACCAGAAGAUGGUGAUAAUAUGAAGGAAUUCCCUCUUCGCACACCAUCACCAUCUCCUUCAACCUUAAGUACCCCAAGCACGCUUUCCCAAACUCUCACUUGUUUUCCUCCGGCGACGAAGCAAACUGCAGUUGAUCGAUUAAGCUUGGACGAUUGGGAAGCAUGGA